ACCAAAAGGCUUACACACAUAGCAAGAAAUGCAAAAGAUGAACACAUUCGCAGAGGAGAUGAAAUCCACUUUACCAGCUUUACAGGGAUCCUUGUAGUCGAUUGCAUCAACGAGAUGAACCAGAAGGGAUAGAAAAAAGACAUCAGCUUCUGGAAACAGACCUGCAGCUAGGAACAGGAAAUUGAGAGGAUGAAGCCUCAGUCCAGCAGCAGCAGCAUAGCUACCAGUCCAAGUCCCAGUCCAGCAGCAGCCUAGUUAUCCAGAUAGUGACAGAUUAGGACAGAUAACAUGGAGGCUUCAGGAGUGGAAUGAGAUUGUGGUCAGUUAAGAAAGCAACAGAAGAGCAGGGAGAGAAAAUGAGGCAGACAGCAAGUGGAGCAAGAGAAACAGGUGACAUACAGCAAUUGAAUAGUCAAAGUGUAAAGGAGGCUAGUUCAUAUUAAGAGAGCUGGUAAACAUUUUAUUCAUUUUUUAUAUUUUAUGUCUUUUUUUCUUUAACCUGUCUAUGAAAAAAAGAAGGAUGUUGUGUAUACUAACUCUUUGUAAGAGUUUGGCAGCGUCAAUCAAUAUCAAUCUGAUGGACUGGGUGUGAUAGUGUAUUCAGAUGUGAUAAUUUCCUCAUGCACUGUUGAUAGGGUCUUAAGAAAAUAAUUGCUAAAUAAUUUACUUUGUCUGGUUUGGUAUGUUAAAGUUUUGUGAUCAUAACAUGAAAAUACAUUUGAAUAACUGAUUCACUAAUAGUGAUACCAGUGUGUAUUAGUAGACUUACCUGACUGGUUCAGAGAUGUUUGUGUAUUUGGAAUAUCAUGUGUCAGUGGUAUUAUUUUUAUUUCAUUUUGUCUUUAUGUCAGUUGGACCUUAUUUGGCUUUAAUGGUCAAUGUAUCAAAAGUUACAUUUCACAGUGUGUAUAAAAUUAU